AUUAGUGAUUUUAAUGAGAUCCUUCUCUCCUUAGAGAGGGUCGGAGGUGCCCCUCGACAACAAUCACGUCUUAAAGCCUUUCAGGACGCCUUGUCUGAUUGCUCGCUAGAAAACUUGGGGUACGAGGGUGAUGUUUUCACGUGGUUCCGUGGGGGACUGCAGGAAAGGCUAGACCAUGUAGUGUCAAAUGCAGAAUGGAUGAGGCUACAUCCGUGGGCAGGCCUAUGCAACUUGGAGCUAGGUAAAUCAGAUCAUAGGCUGAUCUAUUUAGACACUAACCACCUUGUUGGAGUGGCAGAACAUACACCAUCCUACGGAAGAAAAUUUGAGGCAAGGUGGCUAGCUGAGGAGACUAUGGAGGAGAUUGUAAAAACAGCAUGGCAAAAGGCUGCCGCUCGUAACAUUGGACCAGGUGUGGGCGCUAAACUUUCUGCGGUGCACUAG
rnacentral:rRNA from 1 species